UCUGCAUCCCCCUGGCCCGGGAGAGUGCCCGGAGACCGCGUUUAGAGGAUCAGUGGCGGCGGCCUCGCGCGGCGCGGGCGACAGGCGGCGAGGUGUCCAGGCCCUUUCCAGGUUUGGAGACAGCCUUGGAGAGCCAACUUCCCAGCUUCAGCAGCAUGAGAAUAACACAGUACUCAGCUGGUGCUGGCAUUCAGCUGUUUCUGCACAGGUUGGCUGCUACCCUUGCUGAUGGAGAGGGGCUGGAGGUUGUCUGAAAAGACAUUGCUGAUGACCACUUAGUUGGUAGUAGCAGGAUUUGUAGAGUAGAGAUGCAGAGGCCUCCUAGGGAAGUGUGAAGGGAAAGCCUUAACCAGAGUUGAGGAAAGAAGAGCAAGAAGGG